rnacentral:rRNA from 1 species
UUGAACGCUGGCGGCAUGCCUUACACAUGCAGUCGAACGGUAUAACGGGGCCCUCUGGGGCGGACGAGUGGCGAACGGGUGAGUAAGACAUCGGAACGUGCCCAGUAGGUGGGGGGAUAGCCCGGCGAAAGCCGGAUUAAUACCGCAUACGACCCUACGGGUGAAAGGCGGGGGAUCCCUUUGAGGACCCUCGCGCCUAUCUGGAGCGGGCCGAUGUCAGAUUAGGCUAGUUGUGUGGGUAAAGGCCUACCAAGCCGACGAUCUGUAGCUGGUCUGAGAGGACGACCAGCCCACACUGGGACUGAGACACGGCCCAGACUCCUACGGGAGGCAGCAGUGGGGAAUUUUGGACAAAUGGGCGCAAGCCUGAUCCAGCCAUGCCGCGUGCGGGAAGAAGGCCUUCGGGGUUGUAAACCGCUUUUGUCGGGGAAGAACUCCUCUGGGACUUAAUACUUCCGGCGGAUGACGGUACCCUGAAGAAUAAAGCACCGGCUAACUAACGUGCCAGCAGCCGCGGUAAUACGUAGGGGUGCAAGCGUUAAUUCGGAAUUACUGGGCGUAAAGGCGUGCGCAGGCGGCUUGUGCAAGACAGAUGUGAAAUCCCCCGGGCUUCAACCUGGGAACUGCAUUUGUGACUGCACUGGCUGGAGUUGCGGCAGAGGGGGAUGGAAUUCCGCGUGUAGCAGUGAAAUGCGUAGAUAUUGCGGAGGAACCAACCGAUGGCGAAGGCAAUCCCCUGGGCCUGCACUGACGCCUCAUGCACGAAAGCGUGGGGAGCAAAACAGGAUUAGAUACCCUGGUAGUCCACGCCCUAAACGAUGUCAAACUGGUUUGUUGGGCGGGCUUGUCCUAGUCAGUAACGUAGCUAACGCGUGAAGUUGACCGCCCUGGGGAGUACGGCCCGCAAGGUUGAAACUCAAAGGAAUUGACGGGGACCCGCACAAGCGGUGGAUGAUGUGGUUUAAUUCGAUGCAACGCGAAAAAACCUUACCUACCCUUGACAUGCCAGGAAUCCUUGCAGAGAUGGGGGGGUGCCCGAAGGAGAGCCUGGACACAGGUGCUGCAUGGCCGUCGUCAGCUCGUGUCGUGAGAUGUUGGGGUUAAGUCCCGCAACGAGCGCAACCCUUGCCAUUAGUUGCUACGCAAGGGGCACUCUAAUGAGACUGCCGGUGACAAACCGGAGGAAGGUGGGGAUGACGUCAGGUCCUCAUGGCCCCUUAUGGGGUAGGGCUACACACGUCAUACAAUGGCCGGUAACAGAGGGCUGCCAAACCCGGCGAGGGGGAGCCAAUCCCAGAAAAACCGGUUCGUAGUCCGGAUCGCAGUCUGCAACUCGACUGCGUGAAGUCGGAAUCGCUAGUAAUCGCGGAUCAGGCUUGCCGCGGUGAAUACGUUUCCCGGGUCUUGUACACACCGCCCGUCACACCAUGGGAGCGGGUUUCUGCCAGAAGUAGGUUGGCCUAACCGCAAGGAGGGCGAUUACCACCACGGGCAGGGUUCGUGACUGGGGUG